rnacentral:tRNA from 1 species
AGUAACAUAAGUUAAUUAAACUAUUGGGCUCAUGCCCCAAAAACGGUUGGUGAAACUCCGCUUGUUAUUA